rnacentral:rRNA from 1 species
UACAGAGGUCUCAAGCGUUGUUCGGAUUCAUUGGGCGUAAAGGGUGCGUAGGUGGCGCUGUAAGUCAGGUGUGAAAUUUCGGAGCUCAACUCCGAAACUGCAUUUGAUACUGCGGUGCUUGAGGACUGGAGAGGAGAUUGGAAUUCACGGUGUAGCAGUGAAAUGCGUAGAUAUCGUGAGGAAGACCAGUGGCGAAGGCGGAUCUCUGGACAGUUCCUGACACUGAGAGACGAAAGCUAGGGGAGCAAAUGGG